rnacentral:misc_RNA from 1 species
AAGUCGUAACAAGGUUUCCGUAGGUGAACCUGCGGAAGGAUCAUUCUCGAUAUAAUAGCGUAAGCUAUCAAUAUUCACAUUGUGCACUGUUACUGCGCCAUUUGGUGGCUGCAAAGCCACCGGGUGAUUUGCGCUUAUUGUUUAUCAUAUAUAUACUUUAAAAACCACAAAUUUAUACAAAAAAAUUUAAAAUUACGACAACUUUUAGCAAUGGAUCUCUAGGCUCUCG